GACGAACGCUGGCGGCGUGCCUAAUACAUGCAAGUAGGACGCAGUUGCGAACGUGUGAGUAACGCGUAGGUAACUACCUAUUAGAGGGGGAUUACUAUUGGAAACGAUAGCUAAUACCGCAUACUAGUAGAUGGACCUGCGUUGUAUUAGCUAGUUGGUGGGGUAAUGGCCUACCUAGGCAACGAUACAUAGCCGACCUGAGAGGGUGAACGGCCACAUUGGGACUGAGACACGGCCCAGACUCCUACGGGAGGCAGCAGUAGGGAAUCUUCGGCAAUGGGGGAAAGCCUGACCGAGCAACGCCGCGUGAGUGAUGAAGGCUUUCGGGUCGUAAAGCUCUGUUGUUAAGGAAGCGGUACUUGACCAGAAAGGGACGGCUAACUACGUGCCAGCAGCCGCGGUAAUUC
rnacentral:rRNA from 1 species